UACAGAGGUCUCGAGCGUUAGGCGGAAUCACUGGGCUUAAAGCGUGUGUAGGCGGAUCGGUAAGUCCCUUGUGAAAUCCCACAGCUUAACUGUGGAACUGCUUGGUAUACUGCCAGUCUUGAGCCAGCUAGGGGCUACCGGAACAAAUGGUGGAGCGGUGAAAUGCGUAGAUAUCAUUUGGAACGCCAAUGGUGAAAACAGGUGGCUGGGGCUGUGCUGACGCUGAGACACGAAAGCCAGGGGAGCAAACGGG
rnacentral:rRNA from 1 species